rnacentral:rRNA from 1 species
AAACGGGGUCUAAUACCGGAUAACACUUUCCCUCUCAUGGGGGAAGGUUAAAAGCUCCGGCGGUGAAGGAUGAGCCCGCGGCCUAUCAGCUAGUUGGUGGGGUAAUGGCCUACCAAGGCGACGACGGGUAGCCGGCCUGAGAGGGCGACCGGCCACACUGGGACUGAGACACGGCCCAGACUCCUACGGGAGGCAGCAGUGGGGAAUAUUGCACAAUGGGCGAAAGCCUGAUGCAGCGACGCCGCGUGAGGGAUGACGGCCUUCGGGUUGUAAACCUCUUUCAGCAGGGAAGAAGCGAAAGUGACGGUACCUGCAGAAGAAGCGCCGGCUAACUACGUGCCAGCAGCCGCGGUAAUACGUAGGGCGCAAGCGUUGUCCGGAAUUAUUGGGCGUAAAGAGCUCGUAGGCGGCUUGUUGCGUCGGUUGUGAAAGCCCGGGGCUUAACCCCGGGUCUGCAGUCGAUACGGGCAGGCUAGAGUGUGGUAGGGGAGAUCGGAAUUCCUGG